rnacentral:rRNA from 1 species
AUUGAACGCUGGCGGCAUGCCUUACACAUGCAAGUCGAACGGUAACAGGUCUUCGGAUGCUGACGAGUGGCGAACGGGUGAGUAAUACAUCGGAACGUGCCUAGUAGUGGGGGGUAACUACUCGAAAGAGUGGCUAAUACCGCAUGAGAUCUACGGAUGAAAGCAGGGGAGCGCAAGACCUUGUGCUACUAGAGCGGCCGAUGGGGGAUUAGGUAGUUGGUGGGGUAAAAGCUUACCAAGCCGACGAGCUGUAGCUGGUCUGAGAGGACGAGCAGCAACACUGGGAAUGAGACACGGCCCAGACUGCUACGGGAGGCAGCAGUGGGGAAGUUUGGACAAUGGGCGAAAGCCUGAUCCAGCAAUGCCGCGUGCAGGAUGAAGGCCUUCGGGUUGUAAACUGCUUUUGUACGGAACGAAAAGCUCUGGGUUAAUACCCUGGGGUCAUGACGGUACCGUAAGAAUAAGCACCGGCUAACUACGUGCCAGCAGCCGCGGUAAUAC